UGGCAGGCGCCCUCUAUAAAAGCCAUUUACCUGCUACAGCUGGGUACCUGUCUUCUGCUGCUAUCUACACAGUUGCAGUUCUUCUCGAAAUCACCAGAUCGUCCUUUUCAUUAUGAAGCUGAUUACAAUAAUCAUAAUGAUCAUCGUGGCUUUGAUGUUGCUACAAGCAGUAUUAGGUGGUGGUGCUUGUGCUGGAAUGGGAGAGUCAUGUGUUGAUUCUUUUUGUUGUCGGAACCUCGAAUGUUUUCAACAUGCAACAGAGGAGAUUAAGACUUGCUUCUAGUCAGCUUGGAAACCAUGAACAUCCUUUGACUUCUUCAGAAUGUGAUUUUGUCUCAUGUCGUAGCCAUGUAUCAAGACAUAAAGAUUAUUUUGUCAGGUUUGAUGCUAAUAAUAAUCAUGUCAGACAUUGUCUACUCUGCUGGAUGAGUAAAGGAUAGAGA